CCUACGGGUGGCAGCAGUGGGGGAUAUUGCACAAUGGGGGAAACCCUGAUGCAGCGACGCCGCGUGUGGGAAGACGGUCCUCUGGAUUGUAAACCACUGUCCCCAGGGACGAAGAUGACGGUACCUGGGGAGGAAGCUCCGGCUAACUACGUGCCAGCAGCCGCGGUAAUACGUAGGGAGCGAGCGUUGUCCGGAAUUACUGGGUGUAAAGGGAGCGUAGGCGGGACUGCAAGUUGGGUGUCAAAUCUACCGGCUCAACCGGUAGCCGCACUCAAAACUACAGUUCUUGAGUGAAGUAGAGGCAGGCGGAAUUCCUAGUGUAGCGGUGAAAUGCGUAGAUAUAAGGAAGAACACCAGUGGCGAAGGCGGAUGACUGGACGGCAACUGACGGUGAGGCGCGAAAGCGUGGGGAGCAAACAGGAUUAGAUACCCCAGUAGUC
rnacentral:rRNA from 1 species